GAUGAACGCUGGCGGCGUGCCUAAUACAUGCAAGUCGUACGGAAAGGCCCUUCGGGGUACUCGAGUGGCGGACGGCUGAGUAACGCGUGGGAACGUGCCCCAAAGUGAGGGAUAACGCACCGAAAGGUGUGCUAAUACCGCAUAUGGUCUUCGGAUUAAAGCUUCGGCGCUUUGGGAGCGGCCCGCGUACGAUUAGAUAGUUGGUGAGGUAAUAGCUCACCAAGUCGACGAUCGUUAGCUGGUCUGAGAGGAUGAUCAGCCAGACUGGGACUGAGACAAGGCCCAGACUCCUACGGGAGGCAGCAGUAAGGAAUCUUCCACAAUGGGGGCAACCCUGAUGGAGCAACGCCGCGUGCAGGAUGAAGGUUUUCGGAUCGUAAACUGCUUUUAUAAGUGAAGAAUAUGACGGUAACUUAUGAAUAAGGAUCGGCUAACUACGUGCCAGCCGCCGCUGUAA
rnacentral:rRNA from 1 species